rnacentral:tRNA from 1 species
GCCCAAGUGGCGGAAUAGGUAGACGCGCUGGUCUCAAAAACCAGUAUCUUCGGAUGUACCGGUUCGAUUCCGGUCUUGGGUA